ACUAAGAGAGAUUCAUAUGUAAUAGUGAAUUUUCCUUUGUAAAACCACACCCUCUCAAUCUUCAUCCCUGGAGAUAACCAAGAACAUCAAGAUCAACAACAACCAAAAAUGAAGAACAUCAUCAACUAUCUUCAUCUUCUUCAUUCAAACUCAAGGUGUUCAUCUUCAACCCAUCAAACAUCAUCAUCUUCAUAAACUUUCACCACCUUAUAUCAACCUCAUUCCAACCUCCAAACAACCUCAAAAUACUCUCCUAACACCCUCCAAAUACCAUCCUUAAACCUCCCCCAAAAAAAACCCCUUUCAAAUAACCACAACCAUCACCACUUGCUGUUUUUCGAUAGCAGAAUCUUCAAGUCAGAAACGAAGACAACUGGGCUCGGUACAAGCACAAAAAGACUAGGGAGAUUUUCACCAUCAAUUCUUCAGGACCUUACCUACAUCUAGAAAUUUUCGUGGACGAUUUUGACCACGGGAAACCCCAAAGAGACGCGAGAGAGAAUUGGCUAUCCAGAGAGAUUUCUGUUUUUGAGUUCAGAAUCUUCAUGUUAGAAAACAAAAAAGCGAGAACAACACAGCCAAAAUACUACUAGGGAGAUUUUCACCAUCAAUUCUUCAGGACAUUACCUACAUCUAGAAAUUUUCGUGGACGAUUUUGACCACGGGAAACCCCAAAGAGACGCGAGAGAGAAUUGGCUAUCCAGAGAGAUUUACUCCGAAAAUCUACAUCCAUCACCACCCAAAGCUCCUUCAACUUCACCAUCUUUGCUGCCUUACACCACCAAAAUUACAACCUUAUUCCACCUCCUAACACCCUCCAAAUACCCACUCCAACCUCAUCAAAUCUCCUCAAAACACCCGAUACCCG
rnacentral:lncRNA from 1 species